rnacentral:lncRNA from 1 species
GUGGAACCGGCCCCAUCGUUCCCCGGGACUCACCCUUAAUUCAUCACAAAAGGAGUGACUUCAGGAUGGGGUAUCAGUGCUCCCCGCAGAGCUCCCGGGGCCUCCUCGCAUCACCCCACAUCUGCCUGGCCCGGAGGGUGGGGCAUCCUGAAGAAGGUUCCAGAAGCAAGGCCAGCUACCCCCCUGCCCCGCGGCUGCACUGUCUGAGCCCGCCUGAACCGCCGAGGUCACUGCUGCAGGAGCCCGUGUCCUGGACUCGACGGGCCACCCUGCCCCUCACCGCCCCCCCCAGGGUUGGCCGGGAACCAGGAGCUGCUUCCCCAGGCACAGGGGGAGCCUCUGCAGGAGGCUGAGCACCCCCCUGCCCCCAUCCCCCGGGCGCACAAAGCCACGUGGCAUUUUCACAUUAUGCCUUUAUUUCUGCAGCCGGCGGGGGUGGGGGGGCACCCCGGGGACCCAGACCCAGCUCAGAGCAACCAACAGCGGGGCGGCUGCCUCAAACCCGCGAGCAGACGCAGACUCCCACGCGGGAAAGUCAUCUGUUUUACCCAAAUAGACGGACCCACGUCCACCGAACCCGACCUGCGAACCACUGAGAGGACGAGCACCUGGUUCAGGUGUCGGAUCCGGGCAGUGAGGUCAGAGGUCACCACGCGGUUGCAAUCACAUCUGAAGACACGUGUCGUGGGGACCCCUUGGCAGAGGCCGGCCCGGGCCUGGGGUCACCCCGCGAUCGGAGGUUGUGGCCCAGAUGCACCCGGGGCCCCGCGGGGCUCACGUGAAGCCGUGGUGGCGUCUGCUCCGGGGAGAGCCCCCGCUGCCAGGUGGGGGACCCCGCCCCACCACCACGCGCCAGCCCCUCGCCACCCCUCGGCUCGGCCUCUGCUGACGGGCAGGAAACCCCGAGAAUCAUACCGAGCAUGCGCAGAAGGUCGCCUGAAUUCCCUGGUCAGUGCCCCGGGUGCCCCGCGUGCCCUGCGUGCCCCGGGGACGAUGUGGAAGCCACGGCAAGCCUCCGACCUCAAAAUAACUGGCGGUAUUCUGGGCAGCGCUUUAUCUUGCGUGAGACCUGGUUCCUAUGCUUCGUGGAAAUUAUUAUCCGGGUAGAUGGAUGAUAAGGCGGCGUUUAGAGACGCCCGAAACCACGACACGUGUGGUUUUCAGCAAGGUCCGUAGGCCAGACUUCAAGUAGAACGGGGGUGCCCUACGAUUCUCUCUGGUUUUUCCAGAAUGCUGUGGGAGGAAUUGGCCAGGGCUUUUUCCAACAGAAACUCAGGGUUGGGGUUCCCUGGGCGGCUUAGUGGUUGAGCACCUGCCUUCGGCCCAGGACGUGACCCCGGGGUCCUGGGAUCGAGUCCCUCGUCGGGCUCCCUGCAUGGAGCCUGCUUCUCCCUCCGCCUGUGUCUCUGCCUCUCUCUCUGGGUCUCUCAUGAAUAAAUAAAAUCUUAAAAAAAAAAAAAAAAGAUGUAAAGCUCUGGGACGACAGGAAGUUUGGGAGAGAGGUGUUGGCUCAGACCGGCUUUGCCCUGACGGCCGCCUGGUGGGGGUGAGGACGCGUCCAGGGAGGGCCUGGAGCCCGGUGCCCCGGCAUGACCCCAGCCCCUGUGCGGAUCACACGUGGCGCCAGGGCAGGGCCUGAAGACCGAGCGGGGUCAGGCAGCUGCGCACGGAUCCCAGGGACCAUGAUCCCGCACGUCGCACAGGACGAGGGAGCCUGGAGGCCUCCCACCGAGUGCAGGGGCCCCGGGUCGCGGCCCGGCUGACCUCCUGGGGCUCCCGCACCGUGCGGAGCAGCUGUGCAGAGGGCACCAUCCCCGCCACGAGCUCCGGGAAAUCUGCGU